GGGAAUUGCCAUGGGGGAACCUUGAUGCAGCCAUGCCGCGUGUGUGAAGAAGGCCUUCGGGUUGUAAAGCACUUUCAGCGAGGAGGAAAGGUUGGUAGCUAAUAACUGCCAGCUGUGACGUUACUCGCAGAAGAAGCACCGGCUAACUCCGUGCCAGCAGCCGCGGUAAUACGGAGGGUGCAAGCGUUAAUCGGAAUUACUGGGCGUAAAGCGCACGCAGGCGGUUGGAUAAGUUAGAUGUGAAAGCCCCGGGCUCAACCUGGGAAUUGCAUUUAAAACUGUCCAGCUAGAGUCUUGUAGAGGGGGGUAGAAUUCCAGGUGUAGCGGUGAAAUGCGUAGAGAUCUGGAGGAAUACCGGUGGCGAAGGCGGCCCCCUG
rnacentral:rRNA from 1 species